ACCGGCCAGGUGACGGUGUUCUGGGGACGGAACAAGGCCGAGGGCUCCCUGCGUGAGGCCUGCGACUCCGGUAUGUACACCAUGGUCACCAUGUCCUUCCUCGACGUCUUCGGCGCCAACGGCAAGUACCACCUCGACCUCUCCGGCCAUGACCUCUCCUCCGUCGGCGCCGACAUCAAGCACUGCCAGUCCAAGGGCGUCCCUGUCUCCCUCUCCAUCGGCGGCUACGGCACCGGCUACUCGCUGCCGUCCAACCGCUCCGCGCUCGACCUCUUCGACCACCUCUGGAACUCCUACUUCGGCGGGUCCAAGCCGAGCGUCCCCCGCCCCUUCGGCGACGCGUGGCUCGACGGCGUCGACCUCUUCCUGGAGCACGGCACGCCGGCGGACCGCUACGACGUGCUGGCGCUGGAGCUGGCCAAGCACAACAUCCGCGGGGGCCCGGGGAAGCCGCUGCACCUGACGGCGACGGUCCGGUGCGGGUACCCGCCGGCGGCGCACGUGGGGCGGGCGCUGGCGACGGGGAUCUUCGAGCGCGUCCACGUGAGGACCUACGAGAGCGACAAGUGGUGCAACCAGAACCUUGGGUGGGAGGGCUCGUGGGACAAGUGGACGGCGGCGUACCCGGCCACCCGGUUCUACGUCGGGCUCACGGCGGACGACAAGUCCCACCAGUGGGUACACCCCAAGAACGUCUACUACGGCGUCGCGCCGGUGGCGCAGAAGAAGGACAACUACGGCGGCAUCAUGCUCUGGGACCGAUACUUCGACAAGCAGACCAACUACAGCAGCUUGAUCAAGUACUACGCCUGAGCUCCUGUACUUCCACAAGCCACGCUUCUUGCAUCACCGUCGGUUUGAUCCUGAUGUACUGUUGCAAACGAGAACAAAGUGAGGCUUGUACUUGGAUAUAAUAAAUAAAUAAUUGAACAGUUGGUCGUACAGAUCUCUGGUUUAAUCAUCAACUCCAUCACUUAAUUGCUUGUGUUUUUAUCUGUAGUUGAGUGAUACUUCCUCCAUCUCAAAAUAAGGCCCUGUUUGGAGGGACCAUCUCAAAAUAAGGCCCUGUUUGGAUCCCUCCG
rnacentral:lncRNA from 1 species